AAAUUUUCGUAAAAUGCGAAUGUAUUAUAUUAUGAAAUGAAGGGAGUAAAAAGUUAGGAGUUGUUUUUUUUUACAAGUUGAACUUGUAGUGCGUCUCUAGAAUUCUGCAAAAUCAAAGAUGAGCGACCCAAAGGAUGCUUACCCCUACCCUGCUCAAGGAUAUUAUCAAGGUCCUCCAGUGAUGGCACCUCCACAAUAUCAAUAUGCUGCUCCACCUCCACCCAAGAAUGUCAAUCAAUCUGGUUUCAUUGAGGGCUGUUUGGCUGUUCUGUGUUGCUGCUGCUUAAUUGAUGGGUGUUGUUGCGAUCCAUCUAUCCUCUGUCUCUGUUGUUGAUUUCUUUUUUUGGAGUAAAUGAAUGUGUAUUCCUUUUUUUUUUCUUCUUUUACUUGUACUUCAAGUGUAAGCAUCGUUUGGUGCUGAGGACUUCAGUUUUUCUUCAUGAUACAAUAUUUAUUCACUAGGGGAAAAAACAUAAAGGGCUGCGCAGGAAGGGCUGCGCUUUUUUAAAAAGCGCAGCCCUUCCUGAAAAAAUUUGAAAUUUCGGAAUCGCGGGCUUUGAAAUAUUGAGCGGGGAUUUGUCAAAUAUAUUAUCCCUCAUUCUUUCUCCUCUCUCACGUCCCUCAUUAUUCCUUUCCUCCUUCUCUCUCAUCCUCUCUCUCUUCAAAAACUCCCAUAAACAUUUGCGACAAAAACCUUGAAAUGAUUUGCACUAAACAUGGCGACGGAGUCCGAUUGCCUAUUGUGAUACCUUUUCGGAAGCGGAACGAGCCAACGAGUCAAACUCAUCGCUAUGCCGUGAUGUUUACGCUUUUUAAGCCAUCCGAGUUCGUUUAAGCCUCCAAAUAGCCAUUUUCAGUUUUUCCGAAUUUUUUUUCCCUUAAAUUAUGUAUUUGGGUUUUGUUUUAUGUAUUUAAACAUUAUUAGGUUGUAGUUCUUGUAUUUUCAGAUCUAUAAUGUUCUUGUAUACUUCUUUUUGUUUAUAUAUUUUGAUUAAUGUUCUUGUAUA